AAAGAAACCAACAGGGAUGCCCUAGUAACGGCGAGUGAAGCGGCAACAGCUCAAAUUUGAAAUCUGGCCCUCGGGUCCGAGUUGUAAUUUGUAGAGGAUGCUUUUGGUGAGGUACCUUCCGAGUUCCCUGGAACGGGACGCCAUAGAGGGUGAGAGCCCCGUCUGGUUGGAUACCGAUCCUCUGUAAAGCUCCUUCGACGAGUCGAGUAGUUUGGGAAUGCUGCUCUAAAUGGGAGGUAUAUGUCUUCUAAAGCUAAAUAUUGGCCAGAGACCGAUAGCGCACAAGUAGAGUGAUCGAAAGAUGAAAAGCACUUUGAAAAGAGAGUUAAAAAGUACGUGAAAUUGUUGAAAGGGAAGCGCUUAUGACCAGACUUGGGCUUGGUUGAUCAUCCUGGGUUCUCCCUGGUGCACUCUUCCAGUUCAGGCCAGCAUCAGUUCGCUGCGGGGGAUAAAAGCUUUGGGAAUGUGGCUCCCUCGGGAGUGUUAUAGCCCAUUGCAUAAUACCCUGCUCCGGACUGAGGUUCGCGCAUCUGCAAGGAUGCUGGCGUAAUGGUCAUCAGCGACCCGUCUUGAAACACGGACCAAGGAGUCGUCUUCGUAUGCGAGUGUUCGGGUGUUAAACCCCUACGCGUAAUGAAAGUGAACGCAGGUGAGAGCUUCGGCGCAUCAUCGACCGAUCCUGAUGUUCUCGGAUGGAUUUGAGUAAGAGCAUACGGGGCCGGACCCGAAAGAAGGUGAACUAUGCCUGUAUAGGGUGAAGCCAGAGGAAACUCUGGUGGAGGCUCGCAGCGGUUCUGACGUGCAAAUCGAUCGUCAAAUAUGGGCAUGGGGCGAAAGACUAAUCGAACCUUCUAGUAGCUGGUUUCCGCCGAAGUUUCCCUCAGGA
rnacentral:rRNA from 1 species